rnacentral:rRNA from 1 species
GACGAACGCUGGCGGCGUGCUUAACACAUGCAAGUCGAACGGAAAGGCGCUGCUUUUGUGGGGUGCUCGAGUGGCGAACGGGUGAGUAACACGUGAGUAAACUGCCCUUGACUUUGGGAUAACUUCAGGAAACUGGGGCGAAUACCGGAUAGGAGCUCCUGCUGCAUGGGGGGGGUUGGAAAGUUUCGGCGGUUGGGGCUGGACUAGCGGCUUAUCAGCUUGUUGGUGGGGUAGUGGCGUACCAAGGCUUUGACGGGUAGCCGGCCUGGGAGGGUGACCGGCCACAUUGGUACUGAGAUACGGCCCAGACUCCUACGGGAGGCAGCAGUGGGGAAUCUUGCACAAUGGGCGGAAGCCUGAUGCAGCAACCCCGCGUGCGGGAUGACGGCCUUCGGGUUGUAAACCGCUUUCGCCUGUGACGAAGCGUUAGUGACGGUAAUGGGUAAAGAAGCACCGGCUAACUACGUG